UAAAAACCCUAUUCACGAUAUCUUUCUCUCACCUUGCUCGCGACUCACUUUCCCUGCCCUGCUCGAUACUCACUUUCCAUUGCUGAGUAGUUGAGACUCUCAACCCUUGGACUGAUUUUUUUUCUGUUCCCUCAGUCUAGGAAGCAGUGGAUUAGGGUUUAAAUCUUCUUUCUCUGCAUUUUUAUCCUCCACAGAGCCGCCUCAAUCCUGUUUGAUCCAUCCCAUUUUCGGCGCCUGUGACUGAGAAAGCCAAAGAGCUUUCUUCUCAGAUUGAGAGAUUCAAAGUGAAGUAAGUGAUGGGUCGUGUAAUCCGAGCACAAAGGAAGGGAGCAGGGUCUCUCUUCAAGUUACACACACCAUCGCAAGCGGAACACAUAUUUGAAUUGGGAGGAUUUUUAGGGCCAAAAUAUAUCUUCUUUCUCGCUCGGAUAAAGAAGCUUUAAAUAUCAGGUAGAAGUGCAAAAGGAAACAAGAGUAUGUACUGAGCUGGACAAGCUAAAACCAAAGGCAAUGUAUGAAACACUCUUCAGUUUCUGGAGAAUUCCUUAGUUGAAAUUUUGAGUGCAUAUACAUGUUACGGACUGGUUGCUAAUUUUCAUUUUACUAUCAAAGCUGAUUGGUUGAAUGGGGUGUAACUGGUUACAAUUUAGUAAGUUUGGUAGGAUUACUAGUUUUUUAAAAUUUUAAAUCUAUUUUACAUCAA